rnacentral:sRNA from 1 species
CUGCGUGCAGCCUGGAAGGAUGAGCCAGGCCAGGCGGGAAACGGAAGUCCAGGUAGAAGGGAGGAGCCGAAUUGGGGUACACUCCAUAUGGGCUCAGACAGGUCAGCCUGUGGAAUGAAUAGAGGCCAACAUGCAGGCCAGCCUGGAAUGCGGCAGGAGGGACAAUGGCUUUCCGUUUUUGGGAAUUCUGCCAGUACCUAGAGUGGUGCUUUUUGACUUGGCUUACCUUUUUUCUCAACAUGCAGGCAGCGUCUAUCCCAGACUACCGGGGCCCUAAUGGAGUGUGGACACUGCUUCAGAAAGGGAGAAGCGUUAGUGCUGCGGACCUGAGUGAGGCCGAGCCAACCCUCACCCACAUGAGCAUCACCCGUUUGCAUGAGCAGAAACUGGUAAGAGCCCUGGGUGGCUGGUACACUUGCCAGGGACCAGGCAGAGCACCUUGGUGCCUAGUGGGCAGCUGCAUCCUCCCUCUGUCUGCCAGUUGACUCCCAUGAUGAGCACCCACCAAGUGGGUUAGGCCCCGGGUUUGAUCCUCCCAUGCUUGACUCUCCAGGACAGAAGGGGAGCACCCCCUCUGAACCAUCCCAUCCACAGCCAGCCUCAGCCUCAGAGCUGCUGGUGGCCUUUCCCCUUUGUGAUUCCCUUGCAUUUUUCUGUGGACCUCAGAAGCCAUCCUAGUCACAGGGGAGGCUUAUGGGACAUCUCUGGGGACCUUCUGCUGAACACCCUCAACCAACGGGGCAUAGGGGUUGAUCUGCCUAGGUCCCCAGGAACCUGAAAUGUCAUGACCCAAGAGAGCAUGGAUCUGGGGCAGAGUGGCCCUUGCCAAAACCCCGAGCCACUUCCCAACCUUGCCAGGA